UACGGAGGGUGCAAGCGUUAUCCGGAUUCACUGGGUUUAAAGGGUGUGUAGGCGGAUCAUUAAGUCCGUGGUGAAAUCUCCGAGCUCAACUCGGAAACUGCCAUGGAUACUAUUGAUCUUGAAUCUUGUUGAGGUGGGCGGAAUACAUCAUGUAGCGGUGAAAUGCUUAGAUAUGAUGUAGAACACCGAUUGCGAAGGCAGCUCACUAAGCAAGUAUUGACGCUGAGGCACGAAAAGCGUGGGGAUCAAACAGG
rnacentral:rRNA from 1 species